rnacentral:rRNA from 1 species
UACGUAGGGAGCAAGCGUUGUCCGGAAUCAUUGGGCGUAAAGCGCGCGUAGGCGGCCCUGUAAGUCCGUUGUGAAAGUCAAAGGCUCAACCUUUGAAAGCCGAUGGAUACUGCAGGGCUAGAGUCCGGAAGAGGCGAGUGGAAUUCCUGGUGUAGCGGUGGAAUGCGCAGAUAUCAGGAGGAACACCAAUAGCGAAAGCAGCUCUCUGGGACGGUACUGACGCUGAGACGCGAAAGCGUGGGGAGCGAACAGG